UUCCUUUUUAUUUUUGUCUGUAUAUAUAAUGAUGAAUAAUUAUCUUAUCCUAUCCGCAUCGACCUAUUUUUUUUCCCUUUUGGAUUGGAAAUAUAAAUAAUCCCCCCUUUCUCUUUCCGUCGCUCUCCUAUGCUCUCUGGCCUCUGCGUAUGCGCCUAGGCGAGCCCGUGCGCUGGUUGGCCUCCCGGACGCGGCCGCGGCGGGCGAUGGGGUCGUCGGCGCCGGUGAGGGCGGCGGGAGGCACAAGGGAUCCCGGCGAGAACCCGGCGGUGGGGAGGCUGCGGGAGCUCUUCACAGGCGACGCGGCAGAUGGGUGGGAGAAGUCCUGGGAGUUUGGUGUGACCCCAUGGGAUUUGGGAAAGCCAACACCUGUCAUUGAACAUCUUGCUAGAUCAGGAACACUCCCAAAAGGGAGAGCUUUGGUUCCUGGAUGUGGAAUGGGAUACGAUGUGGUCGCUCUUGCAAGCCCUGAACGUUUUGUUGUUGGCUUGGAUAUUUCUGAUAUGGCUGUUAAGAAGGCUAAGCAGUGGUCAUCCUCUUUGCCCAAUGCAGAUUAUUUUACUUUUCUGGCUGAAGAUUUCUUCAAGUGGAUACCAAGUGAACAAUUCGACCUUAUAUUUGAUUACACGUUCUUUUGUGCACUUGACCCGAGCUUAAGGGUGGCUUGGGCAGAGACAGUUAAUCGGCUUCUAAAACCAGAUGGAGAGCUUCUUACCUUGAUUUAUCUGAUAAGUGAUCAAGAGGGAGGACCACCGUACAAUAAUACAGUUGCUGAGUAAGAGUAUUCAUCCCCUUGCCAUCAUCUAUCAGAAGGUACUGGAACCACUGGGUUUGAAGUCUGUUCUUAUGGAAGACAAUGAGCUAGCCAUUAAACCACGGAAGGGAUGUGAGAAAAUUGGGCGGUGGAAGAGAUGCGCACACCAAUCAUCUCUGUGAGAGAAAGCAGUGGUAUUUUCCUAAACAAAGAAAUAAAAGAAGAAUAGACCAUGUAGCUGCCUCAAUUAUCGGAUACUUCGGUGCUCCUGCUCCGUCACCUUUAGUCGUCAAUGAAAUUCUAGCUUCAAUUGGGGAGAUGCAUAGAGAUCUCAGUUGCCUAGAGGUGUCGCCUUUAGUGGCUACCUGAGUACCUGUGCCACUACAUUCAUUGCUUUUAAUAUGGUUCAGUCGUGAAUUGUUUGGAUGUAAUUGCUUAAUUAUGAAUUCUGUUUGAUCGAGUAGUUUUGCAUGGAUUGUGCUGGUUUUGGUAAGCCUUGUGCUUACUAAUACCAUUUGACCUUCUUUUCUCUUCUCUUGAUGAAAAACAUGUGUUACGGGAAAAAAAGAAUAUAUGGAAGGAUCAACUUCUUACAUUUA